rnacentral:rRNA from 1 species
GACAGAGGUGCCAAGCGUUAGGCGGAAUCACUGGGCUUAAAGCGUGUGUAGGUGGAUGUCUAAGUACCUUGUGAAAUCCCAUGGCUCAACCAUGGAACUGCUCGGUAUACUGGACGUCUUGAGCCACUUAGGGGCUACCGGAACAAAUGGUGGAGCGGUGAAAUGCGUAGAUAUCAUUUGGAACGCCAAUGGUGAAAACAGGUAGCUGGGAGUGUGCUGACACUGAGACACGAAGGCCAGGGGAGCAAACGGG